rnacentral:rRNA from 1 species
AUUGAACGCUGGCGGCAGGCCUAACACAUGCAAGUCGAACGGUAACAGGAAGCAGCUUGCUGCUUUGCUGACGAGUGGCGGACGGGUGAGUAAUGUCUGGGAAACUGCCCGAUGGAGGGGGAUAACUACUGGAAACGGUAGCUAAUACCGCAUAACGUCGCAAGACCAAAGAGGGGGACCUUAGGGCCUCUUGCCAUCGGAUGUGCCCAGAUGGGAUUAGCUAGUAGGUGGGGUAACGGCUCACCUAGGCGACGAUCCCUAGCUGGUCUGAGAGGAUGACCAGCCACACUGGAACUGAGACACGGUCCAGACUCCUACGGGAGGCAGCAGUGGGGAAUAUUGCACAAAGGGCGCAAGCCUGAUGCAGCCAUGCCGCGUGUAUGAAGAAGGCCUUCGGGUUGUAAAGUACUUUCAGCGGGGAGGAAGGGAGUAAAGUUAAUACCUUGGCUCAUUGACGUUACCCGCAGAAGAAGCACCGGCUAACUCCGUG